CCUCGUUUCCUUAUCUUUACUUCCUUCGUGAGACCUCUCCCUAUCUCUACUCCCUUCCCUCUCGCUUCGCUCGACAGAUCUCCUUCUCUCCCGAGCUCUAUCUCUCUCAUCCUCCCUAUCGUCGCGCCUCGAUGACAGGUGGUGAUCUGAAUCGCGACGCUUUGAAUCUCCAUUGCGAUGGCGGCGUCCGGCUUCGCGUUCCGGCGAACGAUCCGCACUCGAAUCACGAUCGCGAUAGUCCCUGGUGCUCCUGUAUCUCUCCUUAUCCAUGGCGAUUUAGGGUUUCUUCCUCACAUUCCCCUUCGAGUCUUUUAUUAUAACCGAAACCCCUUCCCACAACCGGAAUAAACCAGCGAGUCGUGUAAAAGCAGAAAUCGAUAAAGACUCUCGAAUCAAGUAUUCGCUGACCACUAGUCAAGCUUGCAAUAUGGGCCCAAGCCCAUUUCUAAUUCCUCUUCAAAGUUAUGGGCUUUAAAAUCGUUUUUUCUCUUUGUUAGAAAAUGAAGCUAUUUAAGCUCAAAAUCGAAAUGUAAGAAAAAAACAUGGGGAAUUCGGCCAAAAAAAACCUCAACUUUACACGAAUUGCCAAAACAAACAUGAACUUUGGGGCUGACCAAAAAAACACCAAACUUUCAUUGACUUUAGAAUUAAUUAACAAUAUUUUCGCUGACUUGCCAAUUUAGCACGCCGUCAACAAAUUUAACAGAAAUAUUUGACGUCGUUUAUUGUUGACGUUAAGUGAAACGACGUCGUUUUCAAAUGAGAUGAAACGACGUCGUUUUACAUGAUUUGAAAUUAAAAAUAUGUAAACACCUGGAUUCGAACCCAGGUUGGUUGGUCAAAUGGGAAUAUAUUUUACCACUGGGCUACUGGCACUUUCAAUGUACUUACUAAUAUGUUAACUUUUAUUUGGUACAUAUUAAAUAUAAAAAAUUCUCUAAAAACUUAAUAAGAUCUUUAAAAUUCCAAAAAAUUAAAAAAAUAAAGAAGAUUUUUAUAAAAUUAAUUUAGAAAUUAAAAUUAAAAAUAAAAUUUUAUUUUUCUUUUUAAAAAAUAAAAACUCUUCCAAAAUUUUCUAAAAACUUAAAAAGAUCUUUAAAAUUCCAAAAAAUUGAAAAAAUAAAGAAAUUUUUUAUAAAAUUAAUUUUGAAAUUAAAAUAGAAAAUAAAAUUUAUUUUUUCUUUUCAAAAAAAUAAAAAAUCUUCCAAAAUUUUCAAUUUUUUAAUACAUUUGCUAAAAGUUGAAAUUAAUUAUACACACAUAAAAAGUUGAUAAUUCUAACUUUAAUUUUUUGCAUUUUAUUAUAAUUUUUAAAAAUUUGGAUUUUUUUUAAAAAAAUGAAAAUUUUGGAAUUUUUUUUAUUUUUUAAAGAAAAACAAAUAUUUAAUUUUAAUUCAAAAUUAAUUUUAUGAAAUUUUUGGAAGAUUUUUUUAUUUUUUUUAAAGAAAAAUAAUUUUUUUUAUUUUUUUUUAAAGAAAAAUAAAAUUUUAUUUUCAAUUUUAAUUUCAAAAUUUAUGUUAUAAAAAAUUUCUUUAAUUUUUUCAAUUUUUUGGAAUUUAAAGUUCGUUUUAAUUUUUUAGAAAGAAAAAUAAAAUCUUAUUUUUAAUUUUAAUUUCUAAAUUAAUUUUAUAAAAAUCUUCUUUAUUUUUUAAUUUUUUGGAAUUUUAAAGAUCUUAUUAAGUUUUUAGAGAAUUUUUUAUAUUUAAUAUGUACCAAAUAAAAGUAAACAUGUUAGUAAGUACAUUAAAAGUGCCAGUAGCCCAGUGGUAAAAUACCUUCCCAUUUGACCAACCAACCUGGGUUCGAAUCCAGGGGUUUACAUAUUUUUAAUUUCAAAUCGUGUAAAACGACGUCGUUUCAUCUCAUUUGAAAACGACGUCGUUUCACUUAACGUCAACAAUAAACGACGUCAAAUAUUUCUGUUAAAUUUGUUGACGGCGUGCUAAAUUGGCAAGUCAGCGAAAACAUUGUUAAUUAAUUCUAAAGUCAAUGAAAGUUUGGUGUUUUUUUGGCCAGCCCCAAAGUUCAUGUUUGUUUUGGCAAUUCGUGUAAAGUUGAGGUUUUUUUUGGCCGAAUUCUCAAAAAACAUGUAGUCAUGUAUGGACAUUUUUUUUUGUCAACGUCACUUUUGUUUGCACAUUUCAUGGAUUGGAUAUCUUCAAAAUAUCUUACGAAUUAUGACAUGUGCCUUUAUUUAGCACAUAUAAAUCACUCUUUUGUCACGAACGGCCCUACAGAGAAGAUGAUAGUUAUCUCCUCCUUGAACAUUGUAUUUUUGUUGGACCGGUCACCGAUGUGUAAAGGAAUAUAUGAUUAUGUAUGCUAUAAUUAUGUUGAAGAUUGAAAUUGGAGCAAGGUUUUCUCCAGCUAUUGACACCUCAGACUUUUAAAUCCAUGUAAGAGCAGAGACGGACCUACGUUAGGGAAUAGUGUGUCAGAUGCAAUAGGUUAAAUAUAUAGUUUUGGCGUUUUAGAUAUAAACCAAAUGGAUUUGGCAGCUCGGUUGGUUAGUUUCCUCUUCCAAUGACCCACCUUUUCUCAGGUUUGAACCUCCUUAUCACCACUUUAUGACUAUUUUUUUACAAUAUACUUUAGACAUGGGCCAAAGCCCAAUUUCUGACCCCCUAAAACUUGAAGCUGAGUCCGUCACUGUGUAAGAGUGACAUGUCAAUAAAUGAAAAAAGUUAGAAAAACCAAUCAAGUCAUUUUGUUUCUACACGUCAUUUAUCUUGUGCUGAAACUUUUUUCUUUGAUUAUGUUUUUUUUUGUGUUGACAUUCUUCUUUUAUUUCAGCAUCACGAAGAAGAGAGAGAUAUCAGAUUCGAAUAUCAUUGUUGACUAAGAAGUCGAGAUCGGAGGAAGUAGUGGCGUCAGCGGCAGAUUCAGAGAUCAUCACAGGUUAGACGAGUCAACCAGACUGAUGGUCGAUCGCACCCCUAUUCGAAGCUCCUAGCCCCAGAUUCUUCUUCGACUGUCUCUUCAGAAGGUUUCCGUAAUGAGUCUGCGACAAAGCCGUGUUUGGAAACAUUUGAGCAGAGGGAUGUGAUCUUGUUAAACUAUAAUCUAAUCUCUCCUUGAUACAUUUACAUAAGUUAGUUAUUUAUGUUAUUACACAAAGAGUUGUAACUUUUCAUGUUGUGUCCUUUAGUAUAAAGAGUUGUGUCUCUUAUACUUGUAUUGAUUCGAUCUCUAUAUAAAGAUCAAUCAUCUGUUGUAAACACAUUACCGAAUCUCAAUAAUACAAAAGUAUUUUCAGAAAAGUUUAUAAGCCUGAAACGUCUAUCUUAUUCUUUCUCUCGAACUCGUGUGUAACACACUGUGAUCGUUGUGUAACACAAGCGGUUGGUAAAAGAUUAACAUGGUAUCAGAGCUUUACGUUUGAGAGGACAAAGAACAAAGCACUAGUAAGAGAAACACUUGGCGUGGAGAAAAGGAGGCUAGAGGAUUUUGUCAUACGAUUUCAGAAUCACUCGAAACGAUGAAGAAUCAAGUAAUCCCCAUAUUUGAUGGAGAGAAGUACGACUUCUGGAGCAUUAAGAUGGUAACCAUUCUCAAGACCAGGAAGUUAUGGUCUGUGGUUGAAGAAGGCGUAGCAGCCCCACCAGCACAAGUGGAUGAAACCCCUGAAACAGCAAGGGCAAGAUCGCUUAGAGAAGAAGCGAUGAUGAACGAUACAUUGGCUUUGCAAAUCUUGCAAACUGCUGUAUCGGAUCAUAUAUUCUCACGGAUUGCAGCAGCAUCAACAUCCAAAGAGGCGUGGGAUGCAUUGAAGGAGGAGUAUGAAUGCUCUCCUCAAGUUCGUUUGAUUAAACUUCAAACAUUGCGAAGGGAGUAUGAGAAUCUGAAGAUGUAUGAGAAUGAAGACAUUAAGGUCUUCACAGAUAAGAUAGUUGAAUUGGCAAAUCAACUAACUUAUCAUGGUGAACAGAAGUCGGAUGUUCAACUUAUACAGAAGAUACUCAUCUCUCUCCCAGCCAAGUUCGAUAGCAUAGUCAGUGUGUUGGAGCAAACAAGCGAUUUGACUUCAACAAAGAUGACAGAAUUGAUCGGGAUCUUGAAGGCUCAUGAAGCAAGGCUGGCUGCAAGAGAAGAAAGCACCAGUGAAGGAGCAUUCGAUGCUCGUGUUAAACACAAAAAUUCUGGUGUUACACAAGACAACUCAAAGCGCCAGGGAGGCAAGAAGUGGUGUGGUUUCUGCAAGAGGAACAACCACAAUGAGAGCGAGUGUCUGAGGAAACAGAAGAAGGAUGAUUCAAAGAAGGAUCACAGAAGUAACAAGGAGUGUUACAAUUGUGGCAAGUUAGGCCACUUUGCAAAUCAGUGCUACUCAAAGAAGAAAGAGAAGGCACAUGUGAGUCUCGAAGAAGACUCAAAUGAAGAUCACAUGUUGUUCAGUGCGAGCGAAGCAGCAACAACAGUGAUGGAAGAUGUCUGGUUAGUAGACAGUGGAGCAACUAAUCAUAUGACAAAGGAGGAGAGUUACUUCUCAACACUUGAUAGGAGUAUCAAGGUUCCAAUAAAGAUUGGAAAUGGAAGCACAGUCAUGACAGCCGGUAAAGGAGACAUUACCGUCAUGACUAAAGGUGGCAAGAAGACCAUCAGAAAUGUAUUCUUGGUUCCGGGUUUGGCGAAAAUUUUGUUGAGUGUUCCACAAAUUGUUUCAAGCGGAUACCGGGUGAGUUUCCAAGAGAAGAGAUGCAUCAUAGAUGAUGCAAAAGGAAGGAGGAUAAUGGAUAUCCCAAUGACUCACAAAAGCUAUCGAAUCAGGAUGAGUUCGGCUCAGGUAGAAGAAGCCAUGAGCGCUAGUGAGCAAGGAAAGAUGGAGACAUGGCACAAGAGACUUGGUCAUGUAGGCGACAAAAGGUUGCAACAAAUGCAAGACAAAGACUUGGUAAAGGGAUUACCAAAGUUUAAAGUCAAGAAGGAAGCAUGUGAGGCGUGUAGACUUGGAAAGCAAUCACGCAAAAGCUUCCCAAAGGAAUCUCAAACUAAGACAAGAGAGAAGCUUGAGAUUGUACAUACGGAUGUAUGUGGGCCGAUGCAGCACCAGUCUGUUGAUGGAAGCCGAUACUUUUUGCUAUUCUUGGAUGAUCAUACUCACAUGUGUUGGGUAUACUUCAUGAAGCAAAAGUCAGAGACAUUCUCACUGUUCAAGAAGUUCAAAGCAAUGGUGGAGAAGCAGUCGGAUUGUACCAUCAAGACACUGAGAUCAGAUGGAGGUGGUGAGUUCACUUCACGAGAAUUCAACCGGUUCUGUGAAGAAGAAGGAAUCAAUAAGCAAGUCACCUUGCCUUAUUCACCACAACAAAAUGGUGCAGCGGAGCGCAUGAAUAGAACCUUGGUGGAGAUGGCUAGAUCGAUGUUGGCAGAGCAAGACUUACCGCUCAAGUUAUGGGCAGAAGCGGUAUACACUGCCUCAUAUCUUCAAAACCGUCUGCCAUCAAAGGCAAUAGAAGAAGAUGUCACUCCUAUAGAGAAGUGGUGUGGACACAAGCCAGAUGUGUCACACAUGAGAAUGUUUGGUAGCAUAUGCUACAUACAUGUCCCGGAUCAAAAGAGGAGGAAGCUAGACGUCAAGGCAAAGCGUGGAGUCUUUGUUGGAUAUAGCAACCAAUCCAAAGGCUAUAGAGUUCUCAUCUUGGAGAAUGAGAAGAUUGAAGUAUCAAGAGAUGUCGAGUUUGAAGAAAGCAAGAAGUGGGAUUGGAAGAGGCAAGAAGAAGUGAGGAAGACAUUGGAGUUGUCAAUGGAAGACUCUCACUCGCCUGAAGAACAAACCAAAGGUGCAUUAAGCCCUGAGGAACAAACCGAAGGUGCAUCCAGCUCUGAGGAACAAUUCGGAGGUACUUUCAGUCCUGUUCUCUUUCAAAAUGAUGAUCAUGAUACUAGAAGUGGAGAUGAAGAAACUUCUGAGGCACCAAGGAAGUUCAAAUCCAUGGUUGAUAUCAUGGAAAGAGCACCGAGAGUAGAGCUUGAUGAAGCGGCUCAAGCGAUAGAAGCUUGUCUUCAUGCACAUGAAGAACCAUACACUUAUGAUGAAGCAUGUGGUACCAAGGAAUCGAGAGAAGCAAUGAAUGAGGAAAUAGCUAUGAUUGAGAAAAACAAGACGUGGAAACUAGUGGACAAGCCAAAGAAGAAGAAUGUGAUAAGUGUGAAGUGGAUCUACAAGAUCAAGACCGAUGCAAACGGCAAUCACAUCAAGCACAAGGCGCGGCUAGUUGCAAGAGGGUUCUCUCAAGAGUAUGGUGUUGACUACCUUGAGACGUUUGCUCCUGUCUCAAGACAUGAUACAAUACGAGCCAUACUUGCCUAUGCGGCUCAGAUGAAGUGGCGAUUGUAUCAGAUGGAUGUGAAGUCAGCCUUUCUCAAUGGCGACCUCAAGGAAGAAGUGUAUGUCACACAACCGCCUGGGUAUGUGACACACGGGAAGGAACACAAGGUGUUAAGGCUACACAAAGCUUUAUAUGGUUUAAAGCAAGCCCCAAGGGCAUGGUAUGGAAGGAUAGAUUCAUACUUUCUUCAAAACGGUUUUGAGAGGAGUAUGAAUGAUGCGGCCUUAUACAUCAAGAAGCAAGGAGGAGAUGUGUUGAUCGUGAGUCUAUAUGUGGAUGAUAUAAUCAUCACAGGAAGCAACAUUCAGAGCAUCAACACAUUCAAGGAGAACAUGAAGAAAGAAUUCGAGAUGGUGGAUCUUGGAUUGUUGAACUACUUUCUUGGAAUGGAAGUAAUUCAAGACGAUGGAGGCAUAUUUCUUUCACAAGAAAAAUAUGCAAACAAACUUGUAGAUAAGUUUGGGAUGUGAGACAGCAAGAGUGUAAGCAACCCACUUACACCACAAGGAAAAGGAGUUGAGGAUGACAAGGAGUAUGGAGAUCCGACUAAGUAUAGAAGCAUCAUUGGAGGGCUUUUGUACUUGUGUGCAUCAAGACCUGAUGUGAUGUAUGCAAGUGCUUAUCUCUCAAGAUACAUGUCAUCACCUCGCAUGAAGCACUACCAAGAAGCCAAGAGGGUGUUAAGAUAUGUCAAAGGAACAUCAAACUUUGGAGUGUACUUCACAAGCGUGAAAGAACCAAGACUUCUAGGCUACACGGACAGCGAUUGGGGUGGUUCUAAGGAAGACAAGAAAAGCACUUCAGGUUAUGUGUUUACUCUUGGAUCAGCCAUGUUUUGUUGGCAGUCAAGCAAGCAACAAACAGUGGCGCAAUCAACGGCUGAGGCAGAGUACAUAGCCGUGUGUGCAGCAGCAAAUCAAGCAGUGUGGUUACAAAGACUAUUUGAAGACUUUGGUCAGAAGUUUGAAGGAGGCAUUCCGAUCUUAUGUGACAACAAAUCAGCAAUAGCAAUUGGGAAGAAUCCGGUGCAACACAGAAGGACGAAGCACAUAGAGAUCAAGUACCAUUUCGUGAGGGAAGCUGAGCAAAAGGGAAUCAUUGAACUGAAGUAUUGCAAAGGGGAUGAUCAACUCGCAGACAUUCUCACAAAGGCAUUGGGUGGUUCAAGAUUUGAAGAUCUAAGGAAGCAGCUUGGAGUCAAGUCGAGAUAUGAUUAAGGAGGAGUGUUAAACUAUAAUCUAAUCUCUCCUUGAUACAUUUACAUAAGUUAGUUAUUUAUGUUAUUACACAAAGAGUUGUAACUCUUCAUGUUGUGUCCUUUAGUAUAAAGAGUUGUGUCUCUUAUACUUGUAUUGAUUCGAUCUCUAUAUAAAUAUCAAUCAUCUGUUGUAAACACAUUACCGAAUCUCAAUAAUACAAAAGUAUUUUCAGAAAAGUUUAUAAGCCUGAAACGUCUAUCUUAUUCUUUCUCUCGAACUCGUGUGUAACACACUGUGAUCGUUGUGUAACACAAGCGGUUGGUAAAAGAUUAACAGAUCUUGCAGCGGCUCUAGAUGGUGUUGAUUUGAUGGAGGAGGAGUAUCAAGUCCUGAAUAGAUACGGCUCCGGUCAUCGACGCAACGAUGGUAACUAUGUUGUUGAGAUUCUAUAUGUGGCUUUCUAUGUUGUUUUGUAUAUGAUCUGUUUUUUGGUUCCUACAACUGUUGUUUUAGAUUAUGGUCGGCUGAUGUUUAUAGUCUUUGUGGUUAUUGAUUUAGAAUUUUUUGUUUGUUUUACUUGUCAGGUUUUUACAUUGGCAAAACAUCGGAGAAGCUGCAUCCUAUUGAGAACCCAGAAGACAUCAUUGUGCAGUCUGCUGGCCUUAUGGUCAGAGAGCUGUUUUGAAGUUUGCUGAUCAGUACAUUGGAGCUAAUACCAUUGCUGGAAAACACACUCCUGGUAUAUUCACCAAUCAGAUGCAUACAUUAUUCAGUGAGCCCAUGCUUCUGAUUCUUACUGAUCCACGUACCGACCACCCCGGUAAUUCAAUUUUUGAACUGAUGAGUUUCUUUCCUUAUACAACUGAUAGUUUUGUCUUAACUUGGAUCUUGUGUGUGCCUGUGUGUUGCAGGCCAUUAAGGAAGGUUGAUACAUUUUUGUUUUUAGUUAUGUGACCAGCUUACUCUUUCGUUUUAAACUGCAGAUAUUCGUGUCGCUUACUUAGGCAAGGCAUAUAACAUAUGUGUAUAGAUGUGAUGAACUCAGAAAGAGGAUCCCAAAAUUCAAAGGUAUGGGAUUUCUCUAAGAUCUACAAUUGAUGUAAUUAGGCAGUGAAGGAGAAUAUUUUGAAUCAACUCACUAAAGUUGUGCAACUCGUGAAGCUAGAGAAAGAUCCAUGUGCUGCAUUUUGCUUUGAUCAUCGAUCCCAAAUAACACGUAUGCACUGGAUGAUGAUAUGAAGUAUCAUUAUCUGGCUUUGGCAGUCGAUUUCAGUCAUAUUUUAUCGUGUGUCUCCCAAGCAAAAAGCUCUGGUAUUUCCACCCUUCUCUUAUCUGACCAUGUAGUCUUCAAUGUAUUCCUUUUGCUUCUAAUUUUUGUUUAUUUAUGUUUCGUUUUUUUUCUUCUGAAACAAGGUAAAAAAGUUAGUUGAAGAGGGAACUGGGAAAACUACAUUGGCAUAGUUGAUGAUGCAAAUGAUGUUGGAAUGAUUCAAGAAGCUGACACUGCUGUUUGCAUUAGUGGAUUCCAAAUAAUGCAGGUUAAUGUGAUUUUUUAUUGAAUGUAUUUUCGUGUCAAGUUGUAGUAAAUACCUGUUUUUUUUAUGGGUGCAGUUUAUGACUGCCCAGUUCAGGUUUCUGGAGAGAUUACUCAUGUUCAUGGAAACUGAGGCUAUAAAUGAAUAGCUCAAAUGUUAAUAUAUGUUUACAAUAAGUCUUAUUCUACUCUUACACAUUUUUGGUUUCUAACAUAUAUUAUUCAUUGUUCUGCAUCCAAAUAUGACAUUUCCUCCACAAAAAUAUAGCAUUUCCUCUCGCCCUCUUAUAUUCUGAGACGUUCACCGGUUCUUUUGACUGUUUGUAUGCGUCUUAAAACCUGUCACAGCUGAGCCACAAAGCUUCACUAACUAUCGCCCAACUUAUCUAAGUUCCCAGACGUCCGGCAAAAACCUUCUCAUCAGUACGAAGUUUGCAACUGUAGCUUCAGACAAAACAACUCUUCUUAUCAAUGUGAUUGACUGUUGUUUCUCAUCUGAUAAUUUUAAUUCAUCUAUCCUUUUAUAUAUUGUUCCCUUUUCUUGGCAGCAAGUCAUUCCGUUGUAUCACCAAAUUGAGCCUUGCAAGGAAUAGAACAGGAAGCUCAUCAAAAUUGCAGGAACCAAACAAUAUGAUUCAGUCAUAAAGAGAGCAAUAUAUCUGUGAAGUUUAAGAACCAGUGACUUUCUUGUCUACUACAUUAUCUGUCAAUGACAGACCAUCUCUCAGGUUUUCAUACUGAUGUAUCUGCAGCAAUGCGACUUAGUUUCCGUUGCAAGAAGAUCAAACCCGCAAUGUGUUUGCAUCCAAGGCCCGUCCACUACCACUGGACCGCAAGGUCCACUCAUUUUUUAAAAAGAUUUUCACCAACUUAAAUGUUCAUAUACUCUAUUCCUUAAUUUUCUAAGUUGGUGAUAUUGGCACCCGUAAAUCUUUAACCGAAUAUAGUAUAUGAUGAACACAGUAAAAACUAUAACUCGGUAUGAAUAUUAUCUAUAUGUGUUAUACAAAUUAAUAAAAUAUUGGCAUCCACAAAUAUUUGAAAAUUCAGAUUGAACAUUCAUAUAUGGAUACACAAAAAUACACAUAAGAAUGAUGAGAUUCAAAUAAUAAUGAAACCAUUUUAGUUAUCAAGAGGGGGGGGGAAUCAUGGCUUGAUUAAUUGAAAAAAAAUGAAACAAUCAUUUUUAUUUAAUGGUGAAUCUCUAUAAUAUUAUUUGAGAAGUCAGUUUCCUAUGUGUCGCUCUCAAGUUAACUCUCACGAUGGUUGAUUACACUGAUACCCUUAAUAAAUUAACUUACAUCUAAAAUACUAUUAUUUAUUAUUUUAUUUAGUUUCCUUUUUAAAAAAUUUCGAAAAAUAUACACAUAAAAUAAAAAGGAAAUAUUUUAUAAAGUUAAAAAAAAAGAAUUGAAAAACGAAAAUAUAUGUAUAUAUAAUAUCUAAUUAUAUAAAAAAUUAUUCGGUUCCCUCCUGCAGUGUCCAUGUGGAAAGUCCAUCCCUAUAGGGUCGACACGUGUCUUGCUUCUCCACAAACCGUGAUUUAUUUUCUCCUUUUUUCAUAAAAAAGGAAAGUAAAAAAAAUAGUAAUAUUAAAUUUAAAAAAUAUUUUUAAAUAACAUAAAAUAUUAUUUUUAACUAAUAAAAUACUUUAUUUAUAUAUAUAUUUUCUAAGAUAAAAAUUAUAAAUUUCUAUAUAAAAUGAUUUCAUUAAAAAACAUUUACACAUAUAAUCUUGAUAUUAGAAACAGAAAUAUUAUUUCUUCUAAAACAUAAUUUAAACAGUACAAAAGUUCAAAUUAAUAAAAAUAUUUUUAUAUACCUAUAUAUUUUCUUAGAUGAUUACAUAAAAUAAUUAAGUAACAUAAACUAAUAUAUGUUUAAUUAUCUAAAAAUAUUUUAUAAUUAGUAAUAUUGAAAUGUUUUAUUUAUUUUUCAUAAAUUUAGUUGACUAUAAUAUCUUUCAAUUACAGCAAAACAAUAUCGAUAAAAUAUAUUUUACUUAUAUAAUAUUAUUUUAAAUACAAUCACAAUUUUUACUGCUUAUUUUUAAGAGUUUCAUAAAUUUAGUUGACAAUAAUAUCUUUCAAUUACAUCAAAAAAUAUCUAUAAAUUAUAUUUUACUUAUAUAAUAUUAGUUUUAAAUACAAUCACAAUUUUUUACUGCUUAUUUUUAAGAGAUAUUAAAAAAACAAAAUUCUAAAAUAAACAUCGUUUGAUCAAAUAGUUACAAAAUAGUUUAAUGAGGUAGAUAUAUUAUAUUUUAUCAUUAUUAAAGUUAUUUUUUCUUAAUAUUAAAUAUGCUUUUUUUUGGUCAUCAACUUUACAGACUCAUAUAGACUCUGUAAACCACACCGGGAGAUAUUGAUCCAUAUGAACGACUAAAGACGGCUGAAUCCUAACACUGCGUGCUAGGCUAUCUGCCUUUGUAUUCUGCGCUCUUGGUACAUGGACGAUCUCUGAUUGGAGAAAACUUGCUCUCAGAUUUUUAAUGUCUUCCAAAUAUUAAAUAUGCUUUUAAAUUUUAUGUUUUUGUAUUUGUGGAACUUAAUAGAAUCAUAAUCAAAAUACCAAAGCAAAUCUGAAUUUUCAUUUUAAAGAUUAUUCAAAUAAAUUUUAGUUUUCAUUCAAUAAAUCAAAAACAUAAAGUUAUUUAGAAUUUUUAAAAUUAUUUAAUUAUUGUAAAUAUUGAUAUGUGUACAUGAGCUUUCAAAAAUGUAUCAGCUACUUACGCAUGUAACUUCAUAUUGAUAAUCCUAUAUUUUUUAAUAUUUUUUAAAAAAACAUCAACAUAUAAUUUGAUAAAUGUUAUGAAAAUACAUGCACAUUCGACUUAAUUAUAAUAAAAAAUAAUUAUACUUUCAUUUUUAAUUUGAAAGAAUAUAUGUAACUCAAUAUACUCACAACAUGAAUGAUUCGACUAAUCCAACUUAUAUUUAAAACCAUAGAUUUAACUACGAUUAGUUUUAUAAGAAUAAUAAUUUAUUUUAUAAAUAUAAAUCAUUGGACAACUAAAAAAAUAUUAAAAAUGCAAAUAAAAUAUUAACCAACUGUUACAAUUUAGUUCUUUUGUAAAAUUUGUAUAUAUAAAUGAGACUUUAAAAUAUUAUCGUUUCGUUAUAUUAAUUUAUGUAAUUUGGAAUCAUAUACUUUAGUUUAUUUUUUAUAUCAUUCUAAGCACAAUAUAUCUUAAGUUAUACAUAAUCUUCAUAAAAUAUAUUUACAUAUCUAAGAUAACAACCACCUAAAUGUAAAUAAGAAAUUAAUCAAAAUUUUAAUAUAUAGAAUAAAAAAAUAUUACAGUUGAAUUCAUAUAUGCAAUCUAAUUUACCCAAAUGAUAACUAAAUCGACUAAAAAACAAGAAAACCGAUUACAUAUAACAUAUAUAAAAAUUAAAGUAAUAUAAUAUUGUUAAUAUAAAUGAUGCGUAUAAAUUAUAAAUUAAUUUAAUAUUAAAUAUAAGUAGCAAUCAAUUAUUAUAAUAUAUUUAAUUUAGAAAUAUUUAUAUCCGUGCAUGAGCACGGGAAAAUCACCUAGUUUAAUUAAAAACGAUUCUACAAAUAAUGGCUUAACAUUGUAAUUAUUUUCAAAAAAUAAAGACAGAAUUUAUAUGGGAUUCUACUUUAAUUGUAUAGUUCAAAAUUAUCAUAAUUAGUGUUAUAAAAACACUAAUGGAUUCUUCUAAUAGAUUUAUACAAAAUGCACACACUGAAUCAUGAGAGAAUAAAGGGCUUGAUUAAUUGAAAAAAAUGAAACAAUCAUUUUUAUUUAUCAUAAUUAGUGUUAUAAAAGCACUAUUUAUCUUCUUGUAUAAUCCAUUUUCAAGUAUUGUUAUUUUAUUGACAAUAUUUAUUUAAAACUAUUUUAUUUUAUAAGAACAUACGAAAAUAACCACCGCGGCGUAGUGCGGGUAAUUUCCUAGUGUUGCUGGAAAUUAGACAAAAAAGUUUACUCUGGAUAUGAGGUUAAUAUGUGGGAAGACCCUUGGAUCCCUACCACACCGGCUAGGUCGGCUCGACCUUUGCUCCCGUGUUAAACAUCUAUUAUUUAUUUAUUUUUUUUUCUCGCAAAUGCUAGAUAUUUUUAUUUGGAAAUUUACGGAAUGUAACCAAAAUAAAAAUACCACUGCAUAAAUUUGGUGGAACUCGAAUUCUCUAGAGAAAGACAUACUUUGGGUUAGUGAAAAAAAACUAUGCUUACUAAAAGAUGAGGAUCUGCACUAAUUUUUGUAUGAUCUAUAAAUUUAAUCUUUUGUUGUUGACAAAAAAAUUAUGGAUAUUAGUACAAUUUUUCUGAAUCUCUGAUAUCUCAUGUUUUCCGUGGUAAGUAUAUGAUAAACAUGAUUCGCCUUUGUGAGAAAGUUCUACAUAUACUCCCUCAUAUGCAUGGACAAGCAUUCAAGUCGUGAGACCGCGAUUGAAUUGGGAAUUAGACAUAAAAUUCACUCAGGCUAUGAAAUUAAAGCGUAGGAGGAUCCAUAGAUUCCGAGUAAACCCGCAAGGCCACCCAGGCCAAAUGUCCUGGUUCUGCAUGCCAGUGUAUUAGCUAUAAGUUAAUUGACUUAAGAAGUUUAUUUUCCACUGUCCAAAAUCUUAACAAACAAUGUCGCUUAUUAUAUACAAACUUGAGCUCUCUCUCUCUCUCUCUCUCUCUCUCUCUCUCUCUCUCUCUCUCUCUCUCUCUCUCUCUCUCUCUCUCUCUCCAACAAAAGUUGCUAAAAUGGAAAACAUACAUGAUUAGAGAAUUCAUUCAUCCAAAACUAACUUGAUAUGUUCUUACUGGCUUCUUGCAUAAAUUGCAUUAUUGCUUUGAUUCCUCAGCAACAAGAUUACUUAUGUUUUUAUGUUUUUUCUUCUUCUUUAUUUUUUGAAUGGUUCUAAGUUGGUGGUCUACUGUUUCGGAUUCUAAUAUUUGGAACUGGUGUUUUGGUUUUAAACUUUCAUAUUAUUAAUGGCUAUAUUUUUAUUUACCGUUUUUUCUUCAUACACACAUUAGUCAAAGCGAAAGGCAAUGAAUAUCAAAACUUUUUAUAUAUAUUAAAAUUGACAAAUUUCUCCGGCCUUCUUCCACUUUGCAUUCUAUAUAUUAAACAUGUGUCUUUUUGAAAAGACAAAUAAUUUUACAAAAUUAUUAAUAAUAAAUAAUCCACCAAAAUAUCUCAUAUUUAUUUUAUUAAUAUUAUUUGGUAAUAGAAAACAAAAUCCAGAUUCAGUUUUUUUGUAAUUAAAUUUGCAGGGUUAGAAGCCAAAUAACUAGUUCUGAUAUGGGAAUUAUCUAACCUAAAGUAACAAGAUACGUCCACGGUUCUGAUAUGGAUUAUUUCAGGCCCUAUUUUGGUAAACGGAUUACUUCUGUUUCACUAGUCUUGUUUUUUGACAUAAUGGAAAUAGCUUUACACAAUUCACUGUUAGAAAAUUUCUCUUUAGCCAACAAAACUUUGUAGCUAUACAAAAAGUCCUGUGACUAUGGAGAAAUUUUAACAAAGAAUUUCUUGCAGAGACACUAUUAGUGGAAAAACCUCUGUAUAUCACAAAAUAUUAUGGCUAUUCAUAGAUAUUAACAAAUAUUGUACUAGUGUUUCUCUUGAGACUUUAUAAAUUUAAAUGCCAAAUCAGGUUAUUUUAUUAAUGCCAAAUAGAUCUCUCAUCUAAGUGAACAACAUGCACGAUCUCUAGAAACGGCGUUUAAAUGAUACUAUAACAACUUAUUCACUAAUCAGAACACACUUUAUAAUUUUAUUCAUAAUACAGCAAUCAGGUUAAAAAAGAUUCAUUAGCAAGCAUGAGUAGUUCAAAAUUAAGUCUACCAAAAUUUUUAUCCCACCAAAACACAAUAACAUCUCCUGUCCUGAACUUUCUCUUCCCCUGAACGCACGACCACCCAUGUAGUUUGAAGUUUCCAUUUUCGUCUCUUUUCAUGGCCACAGCUGUUGUUAUUUGAGAUUCGUACUCAUAGAGAUGCACCAUCUCAAACGAGUUGGGUUCUAACAAUCCUUCGGAACGUUUGACAGACCACCAAGGGAAUAACUUCGCUUCUACCUGUUCUUUUGGUAUCGUUAUUGUAUCGCUGGAACAUGCGUCUGAUUCGGUCAACGUUAUCGUGAUGUGCCAUCCCUCGGCCUGACUAUACGACACAUCAUUUUUUCUUCCCAUGAGGUAGAUAUAUGGAUACUGGAAUAAAUGAUAUACAAGAUUUGUGUUGUAAAUAAUAAUAAUAUGUUCUUGAGUUUAGAAUAUAUAUAUAUAUAAUAGCAAUAAGUUGUGUUGUGUGGGAGAUUUUAAUGAAGACUUUAUAACUAUUAGAAAUAUUUGAUUUUAAUGUUUGCAUUGAUAUCCUUAGAUGCAUGCGCUAGUAAGUGUACUUGUUAUAUUUUAGGCAUGGUAAGACUAACUUGUUUAAUAAUUCAUAAAUUUUAACAUAUAUGUAAAUAUUUUACUAUCUUAAAUAUGACAUGUGUUAAAAGUAAAUUGAUUUGAUUACAUAUACUAGAUUAAUAUAUAUAUAUAAUAAAAUGUAAAAAAUUAUCUAAAGAAUAUCAAAACUAUUAAUAUAUCUACAUAUGAUAUACUAUCAUUAAAGUUGUUAAAUUUCUCCAGCCUUCUUCCACUAUGCAUUCUAUAUACUAAACAUGUAUCUUUUAUAAAAAAAGACACAUAAUUUAAAAGCAAUAUUUAAUGGUAAAUCAUCUACCAAAGUGUCUCAUAUUUAUUUUACAAAUAUUAUUUAAUGACAGAAAACAAAUCCAGAUUCAGUUUCUGUAAUUCAAUUUGUGGGGUUAUAAGGAGUCAAGUAACUUGUGCAAUCCACUUACAAUUCCUUAAAUAUCUAAAAAAAAUUGGUCAAUCCAGUUAUCACCAAAAAUUUUUUAGGUUGAAAGUUUAUUUAAUUUAAUAUAUCAAAAAAAUUGUCCGAAAUGAGUGAAUGAUUAUAUAACAAUGGAAAGAUGAAUGAGUCUAUUAGCCUAAGUCAAUUGCCUUGAGAGUUUAUUUUCCACUGUACAAAAUCUUAACGGGCAAUGUCAUUUAUUAUAUACAAACUUGAGCUCUCUCUCUCUCUCUCUAGACAACAAAAGUUGCUAAAAGGACAAACAUACAUGCUUAGAGAAUUCAUUCACAUGAAACUAACUUAAUAUGUUCUUACUGGUUUGUGCGUUGUUGCUUCGAUUCCUCUGCAACUCUUCUUGCGCUGAGAAGUUCCCUUUCUUAAAAAAAUAGAGAAAGCUUGGUUUUAAAAAGUCAUCGGUUAAAAAAAAAAGAGUCAUCGGUUUAAAGAAUGGUCUGGCAUCGCCUCAACUCCGCAAUAAAAUGUAAUAUAGACAAAAUGCUCCUUUUGGGUGUUUUCUUUGUAAGUUAUGAGAUGACUAAAGUGACUUUUUUUAGAUAUUAAAUCAAACCGAACUGGUUUGUUAAAAUUCGGUUAUUAAAAGGAAUUAAGCUUGUUAUAUAGAAAUCCUUGUGAAACCAUAAAUAGAUAUUAUAAAUAAUUAAUACCUUCACAAACCCUAAAUUCAAUUUUUAAAAAAUCACUUAUGUUCUUGAACAAGAUUGCUCAUGUUUUUUCUUCUUCUUUUUUGAAUUGUUUUAAGUUGGUGGUCUAUUAUUUUGGAUUCUUAUAUUUGGAACUGUAAUUUCCCCUUUUUUGGUUUUAAACUUUUAUAUUAUCAAUAGCUAUAUUUUUAUUUACCAUUUUUUCUUCAUACACACAUUGCUCAAAGCGAAAGGCAAACAAUACGCUACUUUUUGGCAUUUCAAUAAGGUAUCGCAAGAUUAUGCUAGUUUUAUCUAUUAGUUAUUUACUUAAACAUGUAUUAAUUUAAGAUUUGUUAGCUCUGUGCUUCUAUCUAUGGGAAUUAUCUAACACAAAGUAACAAGAUACGUUCAUAGUUAUGAUAUAGAUUAUUUCAGACCCUAUUUUGGUAAAUGAGGACUUAAUAACUAUUAAAAAGAUUUGAUUUUAAUUUUGCAUUGACAUCCUUAGAUUCAUGCGCCAGUAAGUGGACUUGUUAUAUUUUAGGCAUGAUAAGACUAAUUUUUUUGAUAUUUCAUGAUUUUUAGCAUAUAUGUGAAUAUUUAACUAUCUUAAAUCUGACUUGUGUUAAAAUUAAAUUAAUUUUAUUAGAUAUACUAGAUUAAUAUAUAAUAAAAAUUUAUUGAAGAUUAAAUUGUAAAAAUUUCUCCAGCCUUCUUCCACUUUGCAUGCUAUAUAUUGAACAUGUGUCUUUUAUAAAAAGAGCCAGAAUUUGAAAAAAAUAUUAAUGGCGAAUAAUCAACCAAAAUAUCUCAUAUUUAUUUUAUUAGUAUUAUUAUUAGUAACAGAAAAUAAAAUCCAGGUUCAGUUUUGCAAUUCAAUUUGCGGGAUUAGCAGUCAAUUAACUAGUGAAUUCAACUUAAUAUUCUUAAAAUAUCUAGAAAGAGAUGGGUCAAUCCAGUUAUCACCAAAUUAGAUUUAGGUUGAAAGGUUACUUAAUUUAAAAUAUCAGAGCAAUUUUCUAAAAUGAGUGAAUGAUUAUAUAACAAUGGAAAGAUGAAUGGGUGUAUAAGAUAUAAGUCAAUUGCCUUACGAAGUUUACUAGGAUAAGACAUGCAUACACCUUGCGCUAGGUGAGUUUAUUUGUAUAUAUUAUCGAUAAGUUUUUUUUAUAUAUUUGAUCAUUUUAUUUAUACAUAUAAAAUAUUUUUUGUUGUUGACAUAUAAGAAAAAAUCUAACAUAUAAGAAAACUAUAACAUAUAAAGUUUCCUCAUUUUGUAAUUUAAAAUCGUUCUAAAAAUUUUAAAAUAUAACAUAUAAGGUUCCUCAUUUUUGCAAUAUAAAGUCAUUUUAAAAAUUAAAAAUAUAACAUAUAAGAAAAAAGCUAUUUUUAUAUUAUAUGGUUAAUGUGAUUGUUUAAUUUUUUAAAUAAUAUAAAAUUAAAUAAAAGAAGGAUGCAAUUUUUUUUUAUCAAAUCUUUAUUAUUUAUAGUCAUUAAUUGCGAUAUAUAUGUUAAUCAUAUUAGGAAAUUUCAUAGCUUUUAUUGAAAGAAAAAAUACACUUUUUUUUAUAUUUUGGGUUAAUAUAAUGUCCUCUAAUAAUUGGAUUUAGACCAACAUUUUUCAAUUGAUUCUUAAGCUGCCACGUAACCUAACUUUUUAAUUAGUACAAACUUAAGAUUACAAUUUUUUUAAUGAUCCUCAAUUAAUAUAUAGGAGAUUUUCCAGGAUCCAAAAUCUUAACAGGCAAUGUCACUUAUUAGUACAAACUCACAAAUUGAUACAAUUGUUUCACUUAAAUUUUUUAUACAAUUGUUUAUAUUUCAAAACUUUGAUUUACCUUUUCUUUUCUCAUAAAUACUAAAUACAUAUUUUGAUGGAUAAAAUGUCAAAUAUAUUUUUGUUUUAAUUGGGAUUUAUUUAGCUCUCUUUACGAAAGCACAAAUUUUUAACACUUUUUUAUUAUUAUUGUUUUUUUUUCAUCAACAUAAACAAAUUCAUGAAGACUCUGCAAACCAAAUCGGUAACUCUGCAUCCAUGUGAACAACAAAAGACGGUUGUUUCCACUCUCCACUCUCUACCUUAAUUAGAUUAGAAAUAUCAUCUUAAGGCUAAAUGGCUUUAUUUAUAACUUUUGAAUUACAACAUGAGCUUUGGAAACAUAAUUCAAAUAGAAAACAACAACAUUAAAUGAAGCAGCGAAUAGGAAUGUAUUUAUACAAAAGAAAACAUGAAUUGCUUGAAAUUAAGUCUUAAGUGAAAGACAUCCCACCAAAACACAAUAGUAUCGCCUGUCCUGAAAUGUUUUCCUUGGAGUACCGUAUUCCAUCCAUGAAAUUUGAAAUCUUUAUCUCCAUCUUUUCUUAUGAUAUGAGUAGUUGUAAUCUUAGUAUCAUAAUCAAAAACAUCCAUAAGAAUUGCCUCGUUGUGUUGUAUCAAUCCUGUGACAUCCUUGCUAGGAAGAUAAAUAAAUACAUUUGCUUCUAGUAACUCUUUCGACAUCGUUAUCGUAUUACUUAAACCUAUCUCUGAUUCUGUCAACGUAAUGAAGAUGUUCCUUUCGCUCUUUGGGUCGAACGGGGCAUCUGGAUAUAGAUCAGUACCUGCCAUGAGUUAGCACACAAAGAUAUAUGACUAUUGGACUAAAUGAUAUACAAUAGUUGUGUUGUAAAUAAUAGUGUGUUAUUAAGGAUUAUAUAUAAUAACAAUAAGUUGUGUUGCAUUGUGGAUUGUAAUGAAGACUUUGCAUUUAUUAGAAAGAUAUGAUUUUUGUUUCCUUUGAUAUCCUCAGAUUCUUGCACUAGUAAGUGAAUGUGUUAUAUUUUAGGCAUGAUAAGAUUAAUUGUUGGAUAUUUCAUAAUAUUAGAACAUUCUGAAUCUUUUACUAUUUUUAAACUAAUAUUUGUUAAAGUUCUGACAUAUACUGAUUAAUAUAUAAUAAAAAUGUAGAAAUUUAUCUUAAGAAUAUCAAAGCUAUUUAUAUAUCUACACAUAUAAUCACUAAAACUGUCAACUUUCUCCAGCUUUCUUCCACGUUGGCUUCUAUAUGUUGAACAUGUGCCCUUUAUAACACUUAGUUAUUCAUCUCCUAGUGAAUAUUUCAAUAAUUAAUAAAUAAAAUUUUAAUUUUUUUUCAUAAUUUAUAAACAUUAUUAAUGGUAAAUAAUCUACCAAGGAAUCUCUUAUUUAUUUGAUUUAGAUUAUUUAGUAACACAAAACAAAACCAAAGUUCAAUUUUUGUAAUUCAAUUUCCGGGGUUUGAAGUUUUCCUAACUAAUACAAUCAACUUGGUAUUCUUAAAAUAUAUAUAAAAAAUUUGUUAAUCAACUUAUCACUAAUUGGUUUGAGGUUUGACGUUUUUAGUUAUAUAUGUGGGUUUUAGGUUUGACCUUUUUAAUCUACUUAGUAUAGUUAAUAUAUAGUUUAUACAUGUUCGAGAAAUGAGGUUGCUAAGAUCCUUCAAUCAGCCAAGCAAAAUAAGUUCGAAUUAAAUUACCUAAAUUUUGUACAACCAAAAAUCCAAUAACAUCGCCAUGAGUCUCAAACUGUGAUUACGGUGUGACAAAUGAGUGAAAUUUGGGAGACCAAGAGUAAAUCCAUUCACUGCUGCAUAGACCAGCGUCGUUGUCGCAAUUUUUUUUAUCAACUAUUUAUUAUUUAUAGUCAUUAAUUGCGAUAUAUAUGUUAAUCAUAUUAGAAAGUUUCAUAGCUUUUAUUGAAAGAAAGAAUACACUUUUUUUUUAUAUUUUGGGUUAAUAUAAUGUCCUCUAGUAAUUGGAUGUAGACCAAUAUUUUUCAAUUGAUUCUUAAGUUGCCACGUAACCUAACUUUUUAAUUAGUACAAACUUAAGAUUACAACUUUUUUAAUGAUCCUCAAUUAAUAUAUAGGGGAUUUUCCAGGAUCCAAAAUCUUAACAGGCAAUGUCACUUAUUAGUACAAACUCACAAAUUGAUACAAUUGUUUCACUUAAAUUUUUUAUACAAUUGUUUAUAUUUCAAAACUUUGAUUUACCUUUUCUUUUCUCAUAAAUACUAAAUACAUAUUUUGAUGGAUAAAAUGUCAAAUAUAUUUUUGUUUUAAUUGGGAUUUAUUUAGCUCUCUUUACGAAAGCACAAAUUUUUUAACACCUUUUUAUUAUUAUUGUUUUUUUUCAUCAACAUAAACAAAUUCAUGAAGACUCCGCAAACCAAAUCGGUAACUCUGCAUUCAUGUGAACAACAAAAGACGGUUGUUUCCACUCUCCACUCUCUACCUUAAUUAGAUUAGAAAUAUCAUCUUAAGGCUAAAUGGCUUUAUUUAUAACUUUUGAAUUACAACAUGAGCUUUGGAAACAUAAUUCAAAUAGAAAACAACAACAUUAAAUGAAGCAGCGAAUAGGAAUGUAUUUAUACAAAAGAAAACAUGAAUUGCUUGAAAUUAAGUCUUAAGUGAAAGACAUCCCACCAAAACACAAUAGUAUCACCUGUCCUGAAAUGUUUUCCUUGGAGUACCGUAUUCCAUCCAUGAAAUUUGAAAUCUUUAUCUCCAUCUUUUCUUAUGAUAUGAGUAGUUGUAAUCUUAGUAUCAUAAUCAAAAACAUCCAUAAGAAUUGCCUCGUUGUGUUGUAUCAAUCCUGUGACAUCCUUGCUAGGAAGAUAAAUAAAUACAUUUGCUUCUAGUAACUCUUUCGACAUCGUUAUCGUAUUACUUAAACCUAUCUCUGAUUCUGUCAACGUAAUGAAGAUGUUCCUUUCGCUCUUUGGGUCGAACGGGGCAUCUGGAUAUAGAUCAGUACCUGCCAUGAGUUAGCACACAAAGAUAUAUGACUAUUGGACUAAAUGAUAUACAAUAGUUGUGUUGUAAAUAAUAGUGUGUUAUUAAGGAUUAUAUAUAAUAACAAUAAGUUGUGUUGCAUUGUGGAUUGUAAUGAAGACUUUGCAUUUAUUAGAAAGAUAUGAUUUUUGUUUCCUUUGAUAUCCUCAGAUUCUUGCACUAGUAAGUGAAUGUGUUAUAUUUUAGGCAUGAUAAGAUUAAUUGUUGGAUAUUUCAUAAUAUUAGAACAUUCUGAAUCUUUUACUAUUUUUAAACUAAUAUUUGUUAAAGUUCUGACAUAUACUGAUUAAUAUAUAAUAAAAAUGUAGAAAUUUAUCUUAAGAAUAUCAAAGCUAUUUAUAUAUCUACACAUAUAAUCACUAAAACUGUCAACUUUCUCCAGCUUUCUUCCACGUUGGCUUCUAUAUGUUGAACAUGUGCCCUUUAUAACACUUAGUUAUUCAUCUCCUAGUGAAUAUUUCAAUAAUUAAUAAAUAAAAUUUUAAUUUUUUUUCAUAAUUUAUAAACAUUAUUAAUGGUAAAUAAUCUACCAAGGAAUCUCUUAUUUAUUUGAUUUAGAUUAUUUAGUAACACAAAACAAAACCAAAGUUCAAUUUUUGUAAUUCAAUUUCCGGGGUUUGAAGUUUUCCUAACUAAUACAAUCAACUUGGUAUUCUUAAAAUAUAUAUAAAAAAUUUGUUAAUCAACUUAUCACUAAUUGGUUUGAGGUUUGACGUUUUUAGUUAUAUAUGUGGGUUUUAGGUUUGACCUUUUUAAUCUACUUAGUAUAGUUAAUAUAUAGUUUAUACAUGUUCGAGAAAUGAGGUUGCUAAGAUCCUUCAAUCAGCCAAGCAAAAUAAGUUCGAAUUAAAUUACCUAAAUUUUGUACAACCAAAAAUCCAAUAACAUCGCCAUGAGUCUCAAACUGUGAUUACGGUGUGACAAAUGAGUGAAAUUUGGGAGACCAAGAGUAAAUCCAUUCACUGCUGCAUAGACCAGCGUCGUUGUCGCAAUUUUUUUUAUCAACUAUUUAUUAUUUAUAGUCAUUAAUUGCGAUAUAUAUGUUAAUCAUAUUAGAAAGUUUCAUAGCUUUUAUUGAAAGAAAGAAUACACUUUUUUUUUAUAUUUUGGGUUAAUAUAAUGUCCUCUAGUAAUUGGAUGUAGACCAAUAUUUUUCAAUUGAUUCUUAAGUUGCCACGUAACCUAACUUUUUAAUUAGUACAAACUUAAGAUUACAACUUUUUUAAUGAUCCUCAAUUAAUAUAUAGGGGAUUUUCCAGGAUCCAAAAUCUUAACAGGCAAUGUCACUUAUUAGUACAAACUCACAAAUUGAUACAAUUGUUUCACUUAAAUUUUUUAUACAAUUGUUUAUAUUUCAAAACUUUGAUUUACCUUUUCUUUUCUCAUAAAUACUAAAUACAUAUUUUGAUGGAUAAAAUGUCAAAUAUAUUUUUGUUUUAAUUGGGAUUUAUUUAGCUCUCUUUACGAAAGCACAAAUUUUUUAACACCUUUUUAUUAUUAUUGUUUUUUUUCAUCAACAUAAACAAAUUCAUGAAGACUCCGCAAACCAAAUCGGUAACUCUGCAUUCAUGUGAACAACAAAAGACGGUUGUUUCCACUCUCCACUCUCUACCUUAAUUAGAUUAGAAAUAUCAUCUUAAGGCUAAAUGGCUUUAUUUAUAACUUUUGAAUUACAACAUGAGCUUUGGAAACAUAAUUCAAAUAGAAAACAACAACAUUAAAUGAAGCAGCGAAUAGGAAUGUAUUUAUACAAAAGAAAACAUGAAUUGCUUGAAAUUAAGUCUUAAGUGAAAGACAUCCCACCAAAACACAAUAGUAUCACCUGUCCUGAAAUGUUUUCCUUGGAGUACCGUAUUCCAUCCAUGAAAUUUGAAAUCUUUAUCUCCAUCUUUUCUUAUGAUAUGAGUAGUUGUAAUCUUAGUAUCAUAAUCAAAAACAUCCAUAAGAAUUGCCUCGUUGUGUUGUAUCAAUCCUGUGACAUCCUUGCUAGGAAGAUAAAUAAAUACAUUUGCUUCUAGUAACUCUUUCGACAUCGUUAUCGUAUUACUUAAACCUAUCUCUGAUUCUGUCAACGUAAUGAAGAUGUUCCUUUCGCUCUUUGGGUCGAACGGGGCAUCUGGAUAUAGAUCAGUACCUGCCAUGAGUUAGCACACAAAGAUAUAUGACUAUUGGACUAAAUGAUAUACAAUAGUUGUGUUGUAAAUAAUAGUGUGUUAUUAAGGAUUAUAUAUAAUAACAAUAAGUUGUGUUGCAUUGUGGAUUGUAAUGAAGACUUUGCAUUUAUUAGAAAGAUAUGAUUUUUGUUUCCUUUGAUAUCCUCAGAUUCUUGCACUAGUAAGUGAAUGUGUUAUAUUUUAGGCAUGAUAAGAUUAAUUGUUGGAUAUUUCAUAAUAUUAGAACAUUCUGAAUCUUUUACUAUUUUUAAACUAAUAUUUGUUAAAGUUCUGACAUAUACUGAUUAAUAUAUAAUAAAAAUGUAGAAAUUUAUCUUAAGAAUAUCAAAGCUAUUUAUAUAUCUACACAUAUAAUCACUAAAACUGUCAACUUUCUCCAGCUUUCUUCCACGUUGGCUUCUAUAUGUUGAACAUGUGCCCUUUAUAACACUUAGUUAUUCAUCUCCUAGUGAAUAUUUCAAUAAUUAAUAAAUAAAAUUUUAAUUUUUUUUCAUAAUUUAUAAACAUUAUUAAUGGUAAAUAAUCUACCAAGGAAUCUCUUAUUUAUUUGAUUUAGAUUAUUUAGUAACACAAAACAAAACCAAAGUUCAAUUUUUGUAAUUCAAUUUCCGGGGUUUGAAGUUUUCCUAACUAAUACAAUCAACUUGGUAUUCUUAAAAUAUAUAUAAAAAAUUUGUUAAUCAACUUAUCACUAAUUGGUUUGAGGUUUGACGUUUUUAGUUAUAUAUGUGGGUUUUAGGUUUGACCUUUUUAAUAUACUUAGUAUAGUUAAUAUAUAGUUUAUACAUGUUCGAGAAAUGAGGUUGCUAAGAUCCUUCAAUCAGCCAAGUAAAAUAAGUUCGAAUUAAAUUACCUAAAUUUUGUACAACCAAAAAUCCAAUAACAUCGCCAUGAGUCUCAAUCUGUGACUAUGGUGUGACAAAUGAGUGAAAUUUGGGGGACCAGCGUCGUCGUAAAUCCAUUCACUGCUGCAUAGACUCUUGGUUGUAUAUAUUUGUAAUACUGAAGAAAGUUUACUCCAAAGUUUUAAACGAGUGUAUUCAGUUUGUAAAAUAUAUAUAAACUAUCAUUGAUGUAGAUAUAAAUGAGAAAUUAGACUUAUAGCCUUCAAACACACUAUUUAAAAUUGGGAUAUGAUUCACAGUCUGUAUGGACUAGGUUACACCAUUUUAAAUAGCGUGUUUGAAGUCUAUACCAACAGAAAAAAAAAAAGCCAUGCGUCUAGGGUAUAUUUCAGAGAGGCACACAAGGUGUGUGGUGUCAUCGCACCAUAAAAAAAUUGUAGAUCUGUGGUGAUAAUGUUCUAUGAAUAUUGCAGGUGUUUGUAGAUAGCAAUGUUAUGUUGCUGUCGGUUGAUAGUCAAUGCAUGUGAGCUUGACACAUGUCAUACUCAUACUGUAGUACAGACGAGAACAACGACUUAGGGUCACCGGUGGACAAGCCAGGACGUGGCUCCUGAGCUGAAUAAUCAUUUUGAAUAUUUUAUUUAAGAUGAGAAAAGACUUCCUUAUUCUUAUAAGAAAAAAAAAAGAGAUUGUUUGGAGAUCCUAGAAUUAGGGUUUAGCAAUCAGUGUGCGCCUAAGGUAUAUUUUAAAGAGGCACACAAGGUGUGUGGUGUCAUCCCAUGUUUGUAGUCAAUGCAUGUGGGUUUGAUACGUAUCUCAUAACUUAUCCAUUUAGAAAAAAAUGGUAGGCAUCGAAGUGUUGGAUAUCAUAGCAAUUGUAAUCUCGUGGAUUUGCUUCAGGGCUACGCUCAACAGAUCUCCUUCUCUCCCGAGCUCUAUCUCUCUCAUCCUCCCUAUCGUCGCGCCUCGAUGACAGGUGGUGAUCUGAAUCGCGACGCUUUGAAUCUCCAUUGCGAUGGCGGCGUCCGGCUUCGCGUUCCGGCGAACGAUCCGCACUCGAAUCACGAUCGCGAUAGUCCCUGGUGCUCCUGUAUCUCUCCUUAUCCAUGGCGAUUUAGGGUUUCUUCCUCACACCCCUUCUAGUCUUUUAUUAUAACCGAAACCCCCACAACCGGAAUAAACCCGCGAGUCGUGUAAAAGCAGAAAUCGAUAAGACUCUGGAAUCGAUUCAAGUAUCAAUCUGUCGCUGACCACUACUCAAGCUUGCAAUAUGGGCCCAAACCCAUUUCUAAUUCCUCUUUGAAGUUAUCGUUGUAUGGGCCUAUUUGGGCUUUAAAAUCGUUUUUUUUCUCUUUGUUAGAAAAUGAAGCUAUUUACGCUCGAAAUCGAAAUGGUACAUGAUAAUCUCAUUUUUGAUGUAAGAAAAAAACAUGUAGUCAUGUAUGGAUAUUUUUCUUUGUCAACG
rnacentral:lncRNA from 1 species